rnacentral:rRNA from 1 species
GACGAACGCUGGCGGCGUGCCUAAUACAUGCAAGUUGAGCGAUGAAGAUUGGUGCUUGCACCAAUUUGAAGAGCAGCGAACGGGUGAGUAACGCGUGGGGAAUCUGCCUUUGAGCGGGGGACAACAUUUGGAAACGAAUGCUAAUACCGCAUAACAACUUUAAACAUAAGUUUUAAGUUUGAAAGAUGCAAUUGCAUCACUCAAAGAUGAUCCCGCGUUGUAUUAGCUAGUUGGUGAGGUAAAGGCUCACCAAGGCGAUGAUACAUAGCCGACCUGAGAGGGUGAGCUGCCACAUUGGGACGGAGACACGGCCCAAACUCCUACGGGAGGCAGCAGUAGGGAAUCUUCGGCAAUGGAAGAAAGUCUGACCGAGCAACGCCGCGUGAGUGAAGAAGGUUUUCGGAUCGUAAAACUCUGUUGGUAGAGAAGAACGUUGGUGAGAGUGGAAAGCUCAUCAAGUGACGGUAACUACCCAGAAAGGGACGGCUAACUACGUG